rnacentral:misc_RNA from 1 species
GAUGAAGAACGCAGCGAAAUGCGAUAAGUAAUGUGAAUUGCAGAAUUCAGUGAAUCAUCGAAUCUUUGAACGCACAUUGCGCCCGCUGGUAUUCCGGGGGGCAUGCCUGUUCGAGCGUCAUUACAACCCUCAAGCUCUGCUUGGUCUUGGGCGUCACCGGUCCCCGGUGUGCCUUAAAAUCAGUGGCGGCGCCAUCUGGCUCUAAGCGUAGUACAUACUCUCGCUACAGACGUCCGGUGGAUGCUGGCCAGCAACCCCCAAUUUAUCAAGGUUGACCUCGGAUCAGGUAGGGAUACCCGCUGAACUUAAGCAUAUCAAUAAGCGGAGGA